rnacentral:rRNA from 1 species
AGAUAGAGGAGUGCUACGAAAAAGAGCCGUAACACAGGUGCUGCAUGGCUGUCGUCAGCUCGUGUCGUGAGAUGUUGGGUUAAGUCCCGCAACGAGCGCAACCCUUGUCAUUAGUUGCUACAUUCAGUUGGGCACUCUAAUGAGACUGCCGGUGACAAACCGGAGGAAGGUGGGGAUGACGUCAAGUCCCCAUGGCCCUUAUAGGUGGGGCUACACACGUCAUACAAUGGGUGGGUACAAAGGGUCGCCAACCCGCGAGGGGGAGCCAAUCCCAUAAAGCCAUUCGUAGUCCGGAUCGCAGUCUGCAACUCGACUGCGUGAAGUUGGAAUCGCUAGUAAUCGUAGAUCAGCAUGCUACGGUGAAUACGUUCCCGGGCCUU